rnacentral:lncRNA from 1 species
ACAAGAAUCUAAAUUCCAUAUGUGAAAUACUUCCAGAACAAAUCCUGCAGUCCCAUGGAAUAAGUAUUCCAUAAAAAUAACAUCGAAGAACACUUACAAGAUUGAAAAACUAGGCAUGUCAUGGAGAUAGGGGCAACAUAUCACAGCAACAAACAGGAUUUUUCAUAAAAACUGGAAGAAUGAAAGCCAAAUAAAACCGAAUACGUGCAUUUAUCUACAAUGUCGAAAAAUUCAAACCCCACCUACAAAUUCAAAAUGUCCUUACUCUAUAUAUAUAUUGCUUUUAUGAGAAAUGCGCUUCCAAACUCUUCAAUCUAAAAAGCCUCCAUACACAUUCAGAGUUCAAAAUUUCCAUUUUAUUUAUUUGUUUCUUUUUCUGCCAAACCUUGGCCCCUCCUCUAUGUAGAUAGGUGAAGUUAUUCAAGUCACAGUUUUCUACUCUUUGGCGUUUUUGCCUAACGAGUUUUAUUUCAUUGUUUAAUCCCUUUGGCACCAAACCAAUCCUUCUAUGUAUGUACUGGAUUCUUUUCCAUGAGGCCAAUAAGCACAACAAAUCCUGAUAUGGGGAUUAAGCCAAUUACCAAUACAGAUGACUUUUCUUAUAAAACAGCAUAAGAGAAUGUUAGUGAUUCAGAUACAUAUGGGGUACAUACUUGUAGACGAAAAUAAGCUCACAUACAUGAUUUAUGAUAUGAAACAAGGUCUAUACUCCCAGUGACACAAGUCAUGUUGACAUAUAACCAAAACACUAGAUACUACCUCGGAAGCAUAACGAAGAAACUGUAAAUGGGUGUUAAAUUGGUGCAGGGUCAACCAUCAUUUACCAGCCUGAGUUUAGAAGAGCAAACACAAACAACAUAUAAGUUAAAAUAUAACAUUCUUCAUAAAUUGAGCAUGAAAUUCUCUAAUGUACCACAAUGCCAGAAAAGGAAAUUGCAAUAUUAAUAAAGCUCCAACUGAUGGUUGUUUUGCCUUGUUUUGUGAUACUUUCAUAAAAGAAACAUAAUGACAAAACAGUUUCCUAUGAAUGUCAGCCUAAGAAGCACUGACAUGGACACUAAGUGUAGGUCACGCUGACCAGCGAUUUUUCGAAAAAGUUCCAACACAAUACGUCAACCACACACAUUCUUCUCCUCUUCAACAAAUUAGGGCUUCAUCUUGCAGCCGAUAACCUAAAUCCACCACACCAGCACAAACAUGCCUUCUUCAGUUCUUCUUCAACAAAAUAGGGCUGCAACUUAUAGCCGCCAGACCGAAAUCCGCCGC